GUCUAAAUAAAAAUAUGAUUUUAAGGGUUCAAGGAAGAACUCGCAUUUGAACCUGGGAACACAAAAAAAUUUAUAUAUAAAAAUAGGAUUUUGGGUAGAGUUCAAGGAAGGAAUGUCCCUUGAACAUAAAAGAGUAUGUUUAAAUAAAAAUGGGAUUUUAAGGCUUCAAAAAAGGACUCUUCCUUGAACCCAAGAGUAUAAAAAGAGUAUGUUUAAAUAAUAAUGGGAUUUUAAGGGUUCAAGGAAGGACUCUCCCUUAAACCCAAGAGU
rnacentral:misc_RNA from 1 species